GAUGAACGCUGGCGGCGUGCCUAACACAUGCAAGUCGAACGGAGUCCAGCCUUUAAGACCUUCGGGUCAAAGAGGGGAAGACUGAGUGGCGGACGGGUGAGUAACACGUGGGCAACCUGGCUCAUAGAGGGGGAUAACAGAGAGAAAUUUCUGCUAAUACCGCAUAAGCACACACUGCCGCAUGGCAGAGGGUGAAAAGAGAAUCGCUAUGAGAUGGACCCGCGUCUGAUUAGCCAGUUGGCAGGGUAAGAGCCUACCAAAGCGACGAUCAGUAGCCGAUCUGAGAGGAUGAACGGCCACAUUGGGACUGAGACACGGCCCAAACUCCUACGGGAGGCAGCAGUGGGGGAUAUUGCACAAUGGGGGGAACCCUGAUGCAGCGACGCCGCGUGAGUGAAGAAGUAUUUCGGUAUGUAAAGCUCUAUCAGCAGGGAAGAUAAUGACAGUACCUGAAUAAGAAGCCCCGGUUAACUACGUG
rnacentral:rRNA from 1 species